rnacentral:lncRNA from 1 species
GGCAGUUUGAUUGAUUGACCAUUUGCCCAUUUAUCAGUUGCAACUUUUUCCUUGUUCACUUCUACCAACUUUCCUUUCAUUACUAUCAUGGUGUCUUCUCCAUGGAAGGAUAUGCAAAGAUGUUGGACAGAAGACAACACCGUUGAGCCGGAAGGAAUAUUAGAGAAGGUGUCAUCAGACAUUACUCUUUUCCAGGAAUCUACCUUUUCAAUGGGCCAUUGUCUUGCUCAUGACCUUCUGGGUCAACCCAGAAGCCCAAGGCAGCAGUUUCCAAGUUCCCAGAGUAUGACUUCAUCUCAGGAGAAGACACC